AGCUCGGGCCCCCAGAAUCCCUGCGGCCGGGCAUUGCGUUGAUGGCCGGGACGAACGCUCCUGACGGGCAGAGGGCCGCCGUUGGGUGGGAUCCCUAGAUCAGGAGGGUCGUCAGCCGGAGGAAACAUCUCUUAUCACAGCUUGAGUUUGGAAACGAUACGGUGGCAGGGCUUGUUCUUGGAAAUGACGUGAGAUUUUCUCGGUAAAAUGCGAGAAACAGAUACGAAACAAAGCAGUAAAAAUAAAAGAACCCGUCAAGAAUCCCACGUAGAGAGCCUCGGUGAGCUUGGACCCCCCGAAUCCCCUGCGGCUGGGCAUUGCGUCGAUAGCCAGAACGAACGCGAGGGUUAGGUUUAGAGUUAGGGUUUCUCCUGACGGGCAGAGGGCCGCGGUUGGGUGGGAUCCCUAGAUCGGGAGGGUCGUCAGCCGGAGGAAACAUCUCUUAUCACAGCUUGAGGUUGGAAACCAUAAGGUGGUAGGGCUUUUUCUUGGAAACCACGUGAGAUUUUCUCGGGAAAAUGCGAGAAACUGAUAGGAAAGCAUGGAGUGAGGCUGUCUCUCAAAUCUCGUUUAUAUGCGAUUCGCUUUCAAGUUUUCUUGAGCGUUUCUUGGAGGUUGUGCUGAAUAGAGCCUACCACUAAUCGUCUGCAUGAGAGCUAAGCUAACUUCACUUCUGAGUUCUGACAAUAAAUUUACAUUUUUACCCUGGACAAUUACCAUAAAGGCACAAUGGCCAAAAAGUUCCUAAAUUUGCAUUAAAAUCAGACUCGUUUGUGAGCCAAA
rnacentral:lncRNA from 1 species